UAGACGCAGGUCAUCAACCUGCAUCGAUUACGUCCCUGCCCUUUGUACACACCGCCCGUCGCUUCUACCGAUUGGUCGUCCCGGUGAACAAUCGGGAGGCCGUGCUCAUGGUCAGCAAUGGCCGGAGCGCGGUCGAACUUUUGUAAAUUUGGACGACUAGAGGAAGAAGAAGUCGUAACAAGGUUUCCGUAGGUGAACCUGCGGAAGGAUCAUUAGCGUUAAUUGGUCUUGGUGCCAUGCGAAAAACAUGUGGAUCGGGGGCUAUGUGACCCCUCUGUGGGGGGUAUUUUGUCGCGAACUUGGAGAUUUGGCUGAUGGAUAUAUUAUAUAGAUAAACAAAAUACAACUCUUAGCAAUGGAUAUCUUGGUUCCCACAACGAUGAAGAACGCAGCGAAAUGCGAUACGUAAUGCGAAUUGCAGAAUUCAGUGAAUCAUCGAAUCUUUAAACGCAAGUUGCGCUUUCGAGAGCCCU
rnacentral:misc_RNA from 1 species